rnacentral:lncRNA from 1 species
GCGUAGGAGAUGAACAUCUCCAGGCCCAUUAGUCUAUCUGUUGCGGUGGAUUAUCUUCCAAGGGUGGUUCUUAUCUCAAUCUGAAAGUUUACAGUCUUCAGGAUAACAUCUUUCAGAGCAGCUGCCUGCACGGAGCUGUGACCUCCAUCUGGGUUAAUGAGUGCAAGGCUCACCACGCGCCUGCCUGCCUGCCUGCCCUGCAGCUUCAGUUCAUUGUCCUGCUCCAAGGAAUGCAUAAACAAGGGCAUGCUUCAUCCUCGGUGAGGUGCACAGCCUCCUCCUUGGAGACCAGGCGAUACCUUUGAGCACAAGGAAUCUCAGUAGACAAAUCUCAAGGCCCUGGUCUUCACUGGAGGCAAAGGGUGGUGGAAAUAGAUGCUCUCAGUAGGACAACUCAGUAGAAGGCUGUUCACAAUGUAUGUCAGAUGUUACACAUGGCUCUCACUCCUAGAACGUUUAUGUAAAACUCAGCCCAAACUCUAAUUCCAUAAACUUGCAAGAAUCCAGAGCUAUCUGAGAACUGCUGUGAAUCCCAGACAUUUAUUUCAAGUUACCUGCACAUGACUUCGCUCUACCUCUGUCAAAGGUGCUAAAAUCCCCAUUUCUUGGGCAGGGGAAAUGACUCAGUGACUAAGAGUACCGAUGCUCUUCUAACAAGAUCCAGGUUUGAUUCCCAGCACUCACAACCAUCUGUAACUCCAAUCCCAAGGGGAAUCUGACACCUUCUAGCCUCCAAAGGACACCUGGCAUGCAAAUAGGGCAGAGACACACAUGCAGG